rnacentral:lncRNA from 1 species
GCGGAGGCUGGGCAGACUGGCUGGGCUGUUAUGCUGCAGGACAUAAUCCCAGAACAUUGCAAAAUGGGCACUUUCAUACGAUUUUAUAUCGCUAGAGCCUUGCAGUAGAAAUGAAUCAAACGAAACAGCAGGAACCUGAAAAUGUUGUUUGUUCAACUGAAAAGCAGCCUGGAAUUUACUCCCACAUAGUCUACUCACCUGAAAGCGCCGGCCCAUAAUCAUCGUGUUUACACUGCCUGUCUGUACUUACAUGAUACUGCAGCUCACAGCUCAGAACUGCUCACACCCCCAGUACUUCCAGCCCAGCAUCCAGGCCUUUUCAUCUCCCGUCAAUUAUCUCUACCUUAGUUUCAACAGCUUAGCAAGCUGAGUCCUUGAGACACAGAGUGGCUUUAUCAGAAUAACUCCAAGUGCGCAGAGGACGACAGAGAGACAAGAGGAAUGCUUCUCAGACUUACUGGUUUCCUCCAAGGAUUUGCUUGACUCUAAUUAUUGGAAGACCUCCAGGGGCCAAGACUGCCUGAGCUUGUCAAGGGAUUCCUCUUUCUACCAGAGGACACCACCACCCAGACACUAAAUCAGAUGAGAGCUAACAUUUUCACAGCAAUAAAUCUCUGGAACAAAAGAAUGAGUUGGAAAACCUUCAUUGCAUUCUUUUUUGGUGGAAAGAAAUUAUUUAUAAGAACUAAAUUAGGACUGUUGGAGGAAAAGAGUAGGUAAUGAACACAAG